GACAGAGGGUGCAAACGUUGUUCGGAAUUACUGGGCGUAAAGCGCGUGUAGGCUGCUCGGAAAGUCGGAUGUGAAAGCCCUGGGCUCAACCUAGGAAGAGCAUUCGAAACUUCUGCGCUUGAGUUUCGGAGAGGAAGGCGGAAUUCGUCGGUGGUAGAGGUGAAAUUCGUAGAUAUCGAGAGGAACACCGGUGGCGAAGGCGGCCUUCUGGACGAAAACUGACGCUGAGACGCGAAAGCUAGGGGAGCAAACGGGG
rnacentral:rRNA from 1 species